CCAAGGCGGCUUGAUAUUACUGAAUAACCGAUAGUGAAGAGUACCGUGAGGGAAAGGUGAAAAGAACCCCGAAAGGGGAGUGAAAAGAUCAUAAAUUCGUAAAUUUACAAGCAGUAGAAAGGCAUUUGUAUGCUUAACUUCGUGCCUGUUGAAGAAUGAGCUAGCGACUUGUAGAUUGUGGCAUUUUUUGGUUAAUUCUUGGUCGGUAAAACAUAUCGGAGCCAUAGUGAAAGCGAGGACGAAAAGUUCAUGACAAAAGUAGAAAGGUUUCUAUUUUUUUAUUCAUGUCACAAUUUACAAACCCGAACCCGGAUGAUCUAACCGUGAUCAGUGUGAAACUUAGUUAACACUAAACGGAGGCAUGAACUGACUGUUGCUGCAAGAACAGCGGAUGAAUUGCGGUUAGGGGUGAAAUUCCAAUCGAAUUCGGAGCUAGCUGGAUCUCCCCGAAAUGUGUUGAGGCGCAGCAAUUAAAAAUUUAUGUUCAUUAUUAGGGGUAAAGCACUGUUUUGGUAAGGGCCAUGGAAAAAUGGGACUAAAUCAAGGCAAACUAUGAAUACUAAAUGGAAUAUA
rnacentral:rRNA from 1 species